rnacentral:rRNA from 1 species
AGAGUUUGAUCCUGGCUCAGGAUGAACGCUGGCGGCGUGCUUAACACAUGCAAGUCGAACGAUGAAGCCAGCUUGCUGGUGGAUUAGUGGCGAACGGGUGAGUAACACGUGAGUAACCUGCCCUUAGCUCUGGGAUAGCUCCGGGAAACCGGAAUUAAUACCGGAUAUGACCAUGGCCGACAUCGGUUGUGGUGGAAAGAUUUAUCGGCUGGGGAUGGGCUCGCGGCCUAUCAGCUUGUUGGUGGGGUAAUGGCCUACCAAGGCGACGACGGGUAGCCGGCCUGAGAGGGCGACCGGCCACACUGGGACUGAGACACGGCCCAGACUCCUACGGGAGGCAGCAGUGGGGAAUAUUGCGCAAUGGGCGGAAGCCUGACGCAGCGACGCCGCGUGGGGGAUGAAGGCCUUCGGGUUGUAAACCCCUUUCGGCAGGGACGAAGCGGAAGUGACGGUACCUGCAGAAGAAGCACCGGCUAACUACGUGCCAGCAGCCGCGGUAACACGUAGGGUGCAAGCGUUGUCCGGAAUCAUUGGGCGUAAAGAGCUCGUAGGCGGUCUGUCACGUCUGCUGUGAAAACUCGGGGCUUAACCCCGAGCUUGCAGUGGAUACGGGCAGACUAGAGGUAGGUAGGGGAGAAUGGAAUUCCCGGUGUAGCGGUGAAAUGCGCAGAUAUCGGGAGGAACACCGGUGGCGAAGGCGGUUCUCUGGGCCUUACCUGACGCUGAGGAGCGAAAGCGUGGGGAGCGAACAGGAUUAGAUACCCCUGUAGUCC